rnacentral:rRNA from 1 species
UUCGCAAUGCCCGAAAGGGUGACGAAGCGACGCCGCGUGCGGGAAGAAGGCCUUCGGGUUGUAAACCGCUGUCGGGAGUUAAGAAAUGCAGAGAUGUUAAUAGCGUCUUUGCUUGACUAAGGCUCCGGAGGAAGCCACGGCUAACUCUGUGCCAGCAGCCGCGGUAAUACAGAGGCGGCAAGCGUUGUUCGGAAUUAUUGGGCGUAAAGAGCACGUAGGCGGCCUUGUAAGUCAGUUGUGAAAGCCUUCUGCUUAACGGAAGAACAGCAUCUGAUACUGCAAGGCUAGAGUGCGGAAGGGGAGAGUGGAACUUCUGGUGGAGCGGUGAAAUGCGUAGAUAUCAGAAGGAACACCGGCGGCGAAGGCGACUCUCUGGUCCGUAACUGACGCUGAGUGUGCGAAAGCUAGGGGAGCAAACGGGAUUAGAUACCCCGGUAGUCCUAGCCGUAAACGAUGGGCACUAAGUAGAGGGGUUUU